CAGCGCUUAGAAGACUAUCAGCGUCGCCUUGACACCUCCAGUCUCAAGUUGUCUGAGUACCCGAAUGUUGAUGAGCUCAGGGUGAGAGAUGGUCUAAUCAUAAUUAAAAAAAAAAAAAGUACUAUAGACCCGGCAGGCAGUUAACAUCCCAGUGGGAACAGCCGUCCUUGAAGGAGGUCUCCCUGGUAGAUUGUCUGCAUUUGUGACCCCAUUCUGCUGUUGAAUGUCUGCUCUGUGUCAAGGGUGCAUUCGUGUUGGUCACAGGAGUAUUUUGUGAGAAGCUGUAAGUAUGUGGCAGGAAUUGUUGGGAACACGAGUUACUAGAAUAUUUUAAUUUGCUCUGUACUUUCCCUGUUUACAACAAGGACUUUUCAGAUCAUGGAGUAAACAUAAUUUUUCUAUGACACUUUUAAAAAGCGAGGGUUGAAACCAAUAAAGGAAGAACUAGCUGCUCAUUAACUGCAACUUCUUGCCCGGACUUUAAUAUUAAAAACUUUUUUAGGAUAUUAAGUUUCUUUUUUAAAAAAUACCAGUCUACUGGUGGUUGUUUUGGCAGCGUUACUUAAUAAACGUGUAUGUGAUACACAGUAGUUUAUCAAAAAGCACGCUAAUGUGUGUGUUCCCUUACCUUCCGAAGAAUGCAAGUUCCCCUCAGAUGCCAGUGCUAAGCCAUGGCUGUUUUACUAACAAGUGGCUGGCAAUGACAGUGCUUGGCACUCUCAUAACAAAUGCUGUCCCUUAAAACUUUCUUCGGGAGACUGGAGAAAUGGUUCAGCAGGUAAGCGUGCUAGGAAUUAGAAUUCUAGACUCAGAAACCCUGUUGAGAUGUGUACGUCCAGCACACAUCAUCUCCAUCCGGUUUAUGGCAGCUGAGGAAUGAGGAUCUGUAGUACCUCUUUGUAAUGCUGUUCAUAAGCUGGUACUCAUCCGGAGGGAGGUUUGGAGAGAAUAGUCAUGGAUGCUUUUCUGUAAGACGCUUCUCCUUUAGAAGGUCUUGUGCAGGCUGUUUUAAUGUGGACGGUUCCAUUUUCAAGGCAGGUAGCACACUGUGGUUGCUUGUGAAUGAAACCUUUUAUAUUAAGACUGCUCUGAAAAGGGGCUGGGGAUUUAGCUCAGUGGUAGAGCGCUUACCUAGGAAGCGCAAGGCCCUGGGUUCGGUCCCCAGCUCCGAAAA
rnacentral:lncRNA from 1 species